rnacentral:rRNA from 1 species
ACGAACGCUGGCGGCAUGCCUAACACAUGCAAGUCGAACGAGACCUUCGGGUCUAGUGGCGCACGGGUGCGUAACGCGUGGGAACCUGCCCUUAGGUUCGGAAUAACUCCCCGAAAGGGGUGCUAAUACCGGAUAAUGUCUUCGGACCAAAGAUUUAUCGCCUUUGGAUGGGCCCGCGUUGGAUUAGCUAGUUGGUAGGGUAAAAGCCUACCAAGGCGACGAUCCAUAGCUGGUCUGAGAGGAUGAUCAGCCACACUGGGACUGAGACACGGCCCAGACUCCUACGGGAGGCAGCAGUGGGGAAUAUUGGACAAUGGGCGAAAGUCUGAUCCAGCAAUGCCGCGUGAGUGAUGAAGGCCUUAGGGUUGUAAAGCUCUUUUACCCGGGAUGAUAAUGACAGUACCGGGAGAAUAAGCUCCGGCUAACUCCGUG